rnacentral:tRNA from 1 species
AGAAACUUAGGAUAACCAAAACCGAAGGCCUUCAAAGCCUUAAACAAGAGUUAAACCCUCUUAGUUUCUGC